rnacentral:rRNA from 1 species
AUGGAUAUGGAACACGAAAUACCAAAAAAAUUAGGUGUACUUGCUACUCAUGAGGAUGGGGUAACUCCUAAAACCCUCGAUUCUCAUCAUGAGAAAAAUAUUUUAUACUACUUUGAUAAUCCUGAGAAAAUCCCAUUCAACUUUAUAAUGGGAGUAACGUUGGAUCAACGUGAAUACUUUAGGGAUUAUCGCUCGACACAAAAAGGGAAACUAUUAUGGGAUCAAAUUAAUAUGUUGAAGUGGUAUGCUAGACAACUAUGCUCGGAAUAUGAUUAUACUUGUUGCUCUAGGAUGAAUGCUCCACACCUCCCCUUUUCAUGCAAAUUAAAUGAUAAUGAAACCUUGGAUUCUUAUGCUAGAGGUAUAUAUGAUUACAAUGAUGUGGAACAAAUAGAAGAAUUUGUUGCUUUUAUGGGUGCUUAUGAAAUUGAACCCAUGUUUAAAGAGUUUGAGGAUUUUGAUGAUGCUUGUUAUAGAUCUGAAAAUUUAGCUAUCCUCAAAUAUUGCUAUGAGAAUUAUAAAUACAAUUAUGAAAUUAAUGCACUUAUUAAGAAAGUCUCCGCUGUCCAAGAAGAGACUAAUAUUUUGCAGGAAGCUAUGGAAGAAGAAAUUGAUGAAACUUUGAGCUCAUUGGAUGAAAAAGAUGACGAGGAGAGCGAAGAACAAAAGGAGGAGGAGCGGAUUAGCUACCCGUGCCCACCUUGUAAUGAGAGUAACCCUCCAACUCAUACAUUGAUGAUUGCUAUGAUGAUUGUUAUGAUCCCGUUGAUUCUCUUGACAUAUCCCUUUUUGAUGAUGCUUGCUAUGCUUGUGGCCAAGAUGCCAAUAUGA